rnacentral:rRNA from 1 species
UACGUAGGGGGCUAGCGUUGUCCGGAAUCAUUGGGCGUAAAGCGCGUGUAGGCGGUUCGGUAAGUCCGCUGUGAAAGUCGAGGGCUCAACCCUCGAAAGCCGGUGGAUACUGUCGGGCUAGAGUGCGGAAGGGGCAACUGGAAUUCUCGGUGUAGCGGUGAAAUGCGUAGAUAUCGAGAGGAACACCUGCGGCGAAGGCGGGUUGCUGGGCCGACACUGACGCUGAGGCGCGAAAGCGUGGGGAGCGAACAGG